GUAUGAAAUAGAAUUGAGUGAAGUAGAAUGUCUGAUUGACUGAAUAAGGAUGAGGAGAUAGUGGCAGUGAGGAAGGAAGAAUAAGUGAAGUUUGAAGGUUGACGCAAAGGAAGAAGAAGAACAUUGAUGGCAUGCAAAGACAAGUAAGUAAUGUAAGGUAAGCUAAGAUCGACACACUGCAGAAAAGGAAAAAUGACGAUGGACGACGAUAGCUCUAUAUAUGUUGGGGGUCUCCCUUACGACAUCACCGACGAAACCAUUCGCACUGUCUUCAAUCUGUAUGGUGCCAUUCUCGAUGUGAAGAUUAUCAACGACCAACGCGGUAGGGGGAAGUGCUAUUGUUUUGUUACUUUCACGAAUCCUAGGUCAGCAAUCGACGCCAUCAACGACAUGAAUGGCAGAACCAUAGACGGGCGUGUGGUUAAAGUUAAUGGGGUGAGGUCUCGUGGGGGCAGGUCAAACUUUGGCAGAGAACGGUAUUAUUAUCACAAUGAUGAGAGGAAUGGAGAUUGGGAUCGUGGGAGAGAUCGAGACCGAGAUUAUGAUCAUGAUAAUAGUGGUAGGGAUGGAUACAGGAAUCGGAGCAAUGAUUGGAGUCGAGAUCGUGAUAGGUCUCGAGACCGAGACCGAGACCAGGACAGGGAUAGAAGAUUUGAGCAUAUGCAUGACUAUGAUGAAGAUAGAGAUCCUAUGUUAGAUAAUGACUGGAGUAGAGAGGAUGAUAGAGUUGAAAAUGAGCAAGAACAUAGCAGGGGGGAUGGUGGAGAUGAGGAUAGAGACCACAACUUGGAUUUUAACGCAGACAGGAAAACGGAUAGGACAAGUGACCCUGAUAGAAGUUUUGAUGAGGAUAGAAAAGAUCAGUCAAGGAGAAACAAUGACUUGAAUGUUACAAAUCAACAUAGCAUGGAUCUUUCAUCAGAAUCAACUGGUGCUCGCGAUGAUCAGGUAGAAGCUCAAAUAGAGAGCUCAACUAAGCAGCUUGAUCAACUUAAAAAAGAGGUUUCUCAAAUGGAAGAGGGAUUGGAAGAGAAAAGGGUUCAUGUUAAGGAAUUGCAAAAGCAAUCUAAGAAACUGGAGGAUGCACUGAUCAGUGCAAAGAAAAACACUUCAUAUCGUCAGAUGCAGUUGAUAAAGCUUCAUAAAUGUUUUCUGCAAGUGAAAGAUUACACAGAAAGACUUAAAACUAGUGAAAAGGAACUUCAGGAACUUGGGUAUUGUGGGAGUGCCCAAGUCUCACUCAAGUAAGUACCCCUUUUCGAGGCACCAACAGGUAGUCUUGCUACCAGUUGAUGAGCAUUCAAACACUUGUGGAUCCACCCUCAAAAGCUAGCCACUGAGGGGCUCUAAUUGAUACAGUACUGUUAGAGAUUGAUGGUGAUGGCGUUGGAUUAAAGGAUGGACAACUAACAAAUGGAAGUCUUGAUGCUAGGUAGUAAUCUAUAUUUGGAAGUUUCAGAUUGUGUCACUGAUGCUUAAAAUGGGUUUAGCACACAUAAUACCUUGUCUGAUAUGUUUUAUUUUUCCUUUUGUGAUUCAACAACUCUAGUUUUUACUAAAUAGCAUCAAUAGAGUUUUGCUUAUACUGUUUAGCUGUUGGGUAACUUGGUCAUAAUUAUGGAUUCACCUGUUACAAAUUCACUAGAUAAACAAAUUGCAUGUGGUACCUUUUGGACUUGUUCUAGCCAAGAAGUGUGUAGCCAUGAAGUGUGGAGACCUUAGGUCAGAGAAUUCAGUGUUAUCUUUUGUUCAUUGUUAUCUCUAUUUAACCUAAUGUCUGA